rnacentral:tRNA from 1 species
GGAAGUAAAAGUAUGAUCUUGGCCCGCUAAGCCUAAGACCCUGCAGUUAAACUCUGUAGUACUUCCG